rnacentral:rRNA from 1 species
AUGGGCAACUUUUUUCUAUAUGUUGCUCGUGAGCCGCCAAGUACCAGUCUCGCAACAGUACUUGCGUUAAAGGAUCGGUCCUUCACUUGCGGAUCGUUCGCGAGUCGAACUUGCUCUCUUGCCACGCCUUUGACUAACGAACUCGAGUCGGACUCAUUCACAAAAUUCUGA